rnacentral:rRNA from 1 species
GAUCAUGGCUCAGGAUGAACGCUGGCGGCGUGCCUAACACAUGCAAGUCGAACGGAGAUGCGAUGUGAGCGAGAGGUGCUUGCACUGAACAAUUUUUUCGUAUCUUAGUGGCGGACGGGUGAGUAACGCGUGGGUAACCUGCCUUAUACCGGGGGAUAACACUUAGAAAUAGGUGCUAAUACCGCAUAAGCGCACGGUGUCGCAUGACACAGUGUGAAAAACUCCGGUGGUAUAAGA